CCUACGGGAGGCAGCAGUGAGGAAUAUUGGUCAAUGGACGCGAGUCUGAACCAGCCAAGUAGCGUGAAGGAUGACUGCCCUAUGGGUUGUAAACUUCUUUUGUAUGGGAGUAAAAUAUUCCACGUGUGGGGUUUUGUGUGUACCCUAUGAAUAAGGAUCGGCUAACUCCGUGCCAGCAGCCGCGGUAAUACGGAGGAUCCGAGCGUUAUCCGGAUUUAUUGGGUUUAAAGGGAGCGUAGGUGGAUUGUUAAGUAAGUGGUGAAAGUUUGCGGCUCAACCGUAAAAUUGCAGUUGAAACUGGCAGUCUUGAGUACAGUAGAGGUGUGCGGAAUGCGUGGUGUAGCGGUGAAAUGCUUAGAUAUCACGAAGAACUCCGAUUGCGAAGGCAGUUCACUGGACUGCAACUGACACUGAGGCUCGAAAGUGUGGGUAUCAAACAGGAUUAGAUACCCCAGUAGUC
rnacentral:rRNA from 1 species